rnacentral:tRNA from 3 species
GCCUGAGUAGCUCAGACAGUUAGAGCACAUCAUUGGUAAUGAUGAGGUCAGCGGUGCGACUCCGCUCUCAGGCU